ACGCACACACCUCUUCUGUUCUCUUGAGUUUUUAUCCCACCCGCGCCUCCUAGAUUAUUCUCUCACAUCCUCCUCACUCUGUUCUACCCGCACCACCCCCAUCCUUCCCCACGGCUCCCCACACGCCUCCAACACCGCCAUACUUUCCAUUCCUUCCCCGAUCACCUCCGUGAGCGCCCGUUUCCAUCUUCCUUCUUCCUGCCGGUCGCGUCGUCCGUCCACGACCUCCUUCCCUCUCCCUUCUCGCUCCCCUCUGCCCCGACUCUCUCCCCUCUCCUUCUGGAACUUUCCUCUUCUUCUUCGUCUCUGCUCUCCUCCUUCCCUCCUUUUCUCUUUUUCUCUUUUUCCUUUUCUUUCCCUUUUUUUUUCUUUUUCCCCCCCUCUUCUCCCUUUCCCGACCUCCUUUUAUACCCUGCCAGCCUAUCCCAAAACGACGUCGUUUUCCUACAUCCCAAAACGACGUCGUUUUUCUUUCUUUCAAAACGACGUCGUUUUUCCCCUCUCUAAAACGACGUCGUUUUUAUUAUUUUUUUUUUUCUACUCUUUCUACUUUCUAGUCCUUACACUUAUAGUUAUUGCCUUCUACUAUAUAGUUAGUGAGUAAUUUAUAUUUUUUUUUGUACAAAACCAAAAUUAUAUGACACAAGUAAAAUUGAAUGAUGUAUUAAUAUGAUUGACAAAUUUUAAAUUUUUAUUUUAUAAAAAAACAAAUUAAUGAAUUAAAUUUAGACCCAAAAAACACUCAAAAUUAAUGAAUUAUUAAAAACAAUAGAACAUUUAAUGGUAGCUAGAGAAAGUGCAAAUGAGUCAAUUUGAUGAUGGGUAUGGAGAAGAAAUUGAAUCUGUCUUUUGCAAAUUUCUAACACAUACCAAGUUAUGUUGGACCCAUAUAAUACGCAAUUAACUAAGUUGCAGUCAAUUUUGACUAGACAAACUUAAAUUUCAUAUUAAACUAUAGUUAUUACUAAUAGAAAUCUAAUACACAAUUAUACAAAUCUUUCCAUCAAAUGUUGCACUUUAAUUUGUUGUAAUGCAAUUAAAUGUGACACCUAAUUACUUUUACUUUCUACCAUUUCCCUUUUUUACUCAAAUGUGAACAAAACAUACUUUUGUAAAUGCCCCUACAUGCACUAUAAUUAGGUUUACCUAAUAAAAAUUGACUGUUAUUAUAUUUUGAUUAUUAAUAUUUUUUAUGUUACAAUUUAGUCUCCGAAAUUUUUAUUUUGUUACCCAUUUUUUUCCCGUUCUAUAAAAUUAAAACCUAAAACUACUAGAACAUGUUUAUCUUUAAAAAAAAUAAAAUNNNNNNNNNNNNNNNNNNNNNNNNNNNNNNNNNNGAUUUUUUUUUCAAAAAUACCCCCAGAAUCUAAAUUUUCAUCCCUUUUUCCCAAAAUCAAUUUAAAUUAAAUCCAAAUAAUAUUUUUACCCAAUUUUAUCAUUAUUAUUAUUUUAUUUUUAUUAAAUUAAAAUAAAAUAAAUUAAAAAAUCAAAAUAAUAAUAAUAAAAAUUAUAAAAUUAGUGGGUGUUACAAAUCUCCCUCCCUUAAAGAAAUUUGGUCCCCCAAAUUUGCCUCAUACUCUUGGUCGAACAAAUGGGGAUACUGGGCUCUAAAUUCUAAUUCUAAUUCUAAUUCCACACGACCUUUACAAAUGAUAUUUCCCGAUUGCGGAGUAUUCUGCUCUCUCGGUCCGUGAUACCGACCGGUACUUUUUCAUAAGACAAGUCCUUUUGGAGUGGAAACGGUUCAUGAGCCAAUACAUGAGAAGGGUCCGGGUUAUACUUACGUAGCAUAGAUACGUGGAACACGUUGUGAACUCGGGAGAGCUCGGGAGGCAGUGCUAGUCUGUAGGCAGCGGUACCAAUCUUGUCUAAGAUUUCAAAGGGUCCAAUAUAUCGGGAGUUUAAUUUUUCCCUCCUGCCGAACCUACUAAUUCCCUUGAAAGGAGUGACCUUAAGAAACACACGGUCGCCUUUCUCAAACGCUAGGUCUCUCCUCCGGAUAUCUGCAUAACUCUUCUGCCUACUCUGAGCUGUCUGAAUGUUCUUCUUGAUUUUAACUAUCUUGGACGUGGUCUUCUCUACCAACUUCGGGCCGAACAAUCUUCUAUCGCCCACUUCCUCCCAACAAAUCGGUGACCUGCACGGGCGCCCAUAUAGCGCCUCAUAUGGAGCCAUGCCGAUACUUGCUUGGUAGCUGUUGUUGUAGGCAAACUCCAUCAGGGGUAGAUGGUCGUCCCAAUGGCCCCCGGAGUCAAGGACACAAGCUCGGAGCAUAUCCUCAAGCGUACGAAUUAUCCUAUCUGAUUGUCCAUCAGUCUGGGGGUGGAAGGCAGUACUAAGAGACAGCUUUGUUCCCAUAGCUUGCUGGAAACUACUCCAAAACCGAGAGGUGAACCUGGGAUCCCUGUCGGACACUACUGUUACUGGAACCCCAUGCAAUCUGACUAUCUCCCGGAUAUACAUCCUUGCCAACUUGUCCAAUGAAUCGGUCAUCCUGAUGGCUAGGAAGUGGGAAGACUUGGUAAGUCGGUCAACGAUUACCCAUAUGGCAUCGUGUCCUGAACGCGCCUUGGGUAGCCCCGACACGAAGUCUAUGGUGAUAUGUUCCCACUUCCAUUCCGGGAUCGGUAAAGGCUGAAGUAACCCACCUAGGCGCUGAUGCUUUGCCUUGACCUGCUGACAUACCAAACAUUUAGAUACAAAGUCGGCUAUGUCUUUCUUCAUCCCAUACCACCAAAACCGGGGUCGCAUGCUUUGGUACAUUUUGGUGCUUCCUAGAUGCAUGACAAACUUCGAGCCAUGGGACUCUGUCAUGAUGUCCCUUUUUAACUCACUGUCAUUUGUGACACACACCCUGUCUUGGAAACGAAGUAGUCCAUCGGCAGAUAUUCGGAAUUCUGAGCUCCCUCCCUGUUCUGCAUCCUUCUUGUAGGCUACCAGGGCGGGGUCAACUGUUUGGGCUUCCCUUAUCCUCUGAAUUAACUCGGGCUGGACUGUCAGGCGGCCCAAACAUGUGACUCUCUUUAGAUCAUGAAGUCGAACCUGUUGUGUGGCCCCAAUUGGUCUGCAUUAUGAAACCAUCAAAUGGGCUAAGAUACCUGCACUUUUUCUGCUGAGGGCAUCUGCUACCACGUUGCCCUUACCCGGAUGGUAUAAGAUGUCACAAUCAUAGUCCUUAAGGAGUUCCAUCCACCUUCUCUGACGCAUGUUGAGAUCCUUCUGAGUGAAUAUGUGUUUCAAACUUUUGUGAUCGGUAUAGAUCUGAAAGGUCUCUCCGUAUAAAUAAUGGCGCCAGGUUUUCAAGGCAUGAAUGAUUGCAGCAAGUUCCAAGUCAUGGGUGGGAUAGUUCUUCUCAUGAUUCUUUAGUUGUCUGGACCCAUAUGCUAUAACCUUUCCAUGCUGCAUCAGGACACAACCCAGGCCCAGAUAGGAGGCAUCACUAUAAACUGUAUACCCUCCUGAUCUACUUGGUAGAGCCAACACGGGUGCAGUAGUUAGUCGCUUCUUCAAUUCUGAAAAACUUCUUUCGCAGUCCUCAUUCCAUUCAAACUUUGCAUUCUUCUUUGUGAGUCGGGUUAGAGGAGUUGUUAGGCUAGAGAACCCUUCGACGAACCGACGGUAAUAACCUGUCAUCCCCAAAAAGCUGCGAAUUUCCUUAACUGUUGUCAGUUUUUCCCAACCGAGUACCGCUUCAACCUUUUCGGGGUUCACUGAUACCUCUUCCUUCGAUAUAACAUGUCCUAGGAAGGCGGUUUGCUCAAGCUAGAAUCCACACUUGCUCAACUUUGCAUACAACUUCUUUUCCUUGAGGACCUGUAGGACUUGGGCAAGAUGAUGAGCAUGUUCUUCUCUACUUUUUGAGUAGACUAAGAUAUCAUCGAUGAACACGAUGACAAAUUGAUCCAAGAACUCUCUGAAGAUCCUGUUCAUUAUAUCCAUAAAGAUGGCCGGGGCGUUGGUUAGCCCAAACGGCAUGACCAGGAACUCAUAGUGUCCGUACCUGGUUCGGAAUGCCGUCUUGGGGAUGUCUUCUAUUCUUAUCUUUACCUGAUGGUAGCCUGAUCGUAGAUCUAUUUUAGAAAAGACCUGUGCACCCUACAACUGAUCGAAAAGGUCAUCAAUCCGGGGAAGAGGUUAUUUGUUCUUAUUUGUUACCUUGUUUAUCCAUCUGUAAUCAAUGCACAGUCUCAACGUUCCAUCUCUCUUCAUUGCAAAAGUAACUCCGGCACCCCAAGGGGAAACGCUGUGUCUAAUGAAACCACUGUCUUAUAACUCAGUGAUCUGUUUCCUUAGUUCUUCCAUCUCAAUGCGGCUCAUUCGGUAAGGAGCAACCGAGAUGGGCUGGGUACCUGGCUAUAAGUCUAUGGUGAACUCGACCUCUCUGUCCACUGGUAGACCGGGCAGUUCAUCCGAAAAUACGUCUGGAAAGUCUCGGACUAUUGGAAUCUCUUGGAUACAAACUUCAUUCUUGGGCUUACCUAGUUAGAGAAAAUACAAGAUUAAGGCACUGAGAAUUAAGAAAACUUGCCAUCAAGGAAAAUCAGUACUGAAUGAUUUUAUUUAACUUGUAAAUGGCUCCUCGUUGGGAGGAUUAAAUACAACUUUUUUGUUAAAGCAGUCUAUGGUGGCGUGAUACGCCGCUAGCAAUCCAUUCCUAGGAUUACAUCAAAAUCUCCCGUGUCUAACCCUAUCAGGUCUACCCUCAUUUUUCUAUCUGCUAUCUCCACGGCACAUGCCCUGUAGAUAACCUCUCCUAACAAUGUCUCCCCCCCAACGGUAGAUACAAGCAACAAUGAAUCAAGUCUAUCAGGUGAUACAAAAAUUUUGGAAGCAAGAACAUGUGAAACAAAAGAAUGUGAUGCGCCAGUGUCAAACAAAACAUGAGCAAUGUGGCCAAAUAUAGUAUACAUACCAUGUACCACGUCUGGGUCUGCGUCGGCAUCCUUUUGGGUAAGGUUGUAAACUCUGCCCUGGAUUGAAGGCCUUCUUUGAUUCUGGUUCCUCGGGCAUUCCCUUGCAUAGUGCUGGGCACUGCCGCAUAUGCGACAGGUGUUGCUGAGGCGGUAGCAGGAUCGGUCCCCGUGAUCCCUGCCGCAGUGCUGGCAGAUCUUCCCACGUGCUGCCCCCGUAGCCUGAGGAGGGGCCUGGAUGGCGGGUCUGGGCCUCUUACUGGGUUGGACAGGCGCGGUAGGUGUUGGCUUGCGGAGCGGGGCUGAGGGUCAGGAACUUCCCGCUAGCUGAGGGUGGGUGUCGAAGCUCAUUUCUAUUAUCUGCGCAUUUGCUAAGACUGCUGAAUAUGUUUCGAGCUCCAUUACCAGUAAGUGCUGUCUGAUCUCCGGGUGGAGACCCCACUGGAAUUUUCUGGCCUUUCGGCCCUCAUCCAUCAAUGUCUCCGGGGCAUAUCGGCCCAGCUCCAGGAACUUACGGGCAUACUCCGACACUGUCAUGUUUCCCUGGACCAAUUGAGCAAACUCCAUUUCCUUUAGGUGUCGGAUGUGUUUAGGGAGAUACUCCGCGUGGAAGGCCGCUAAGAACUGCUCCCAAGUAGCUGGUGUAGGUAGGGUGAUCCGCUUGAGCUCCCACUAGCGUACUGCUUCCCCUACCAGCAUGUAGGAGGCAUUGACAGCUCUCUGCUCAGGAACUACUCCAAGGUCUCGAAAGGUCUCUCAGUCUCUGCCAGCCAGUAUUGGGCCUCUUCAAAAGAGGAUCCCCCUGCAAAAGUAGAAGGGUUCAGUCUUCUAUACCUCUCUAUGAAGCCGGGGUCGAUCAAGGAAGGAGCGGGGUCUCGAGGUAGAGGGACUGGGGCCGGCUGAGGGUGAACUGGGGGGCCCUGUGGUGGCACCUGCUGAUGUGGUGGGGGUACUAGAAUGUGCUGUGGCGGUGCCUGGUGGUACCGUGGCUGUGGUAUCGGGUCGUACCGCUGCUGUGGUGCCUGGUGGUACUGUGGAGGAGCAGGCUCCUGCCGGGGUGCCUCGGAAUCAGCCUACUGUAGCGGGGGCUCAACCUGCGAUAGCGGAGGAGGUCCGAGUAACUCCUUUCUCUCCUCUCGCCUUUGCUGGGCAGCUACGAGAGCUUCCACCAUCUCAAAUAGUCUGUCUAAAUCCUCCUGAAGCGAAUUAUUUUGGGCCGCUCGGUUUAGUGGGGGCCUUCCUCUCCUCAUUUCCGUGUACCUGCAUUCACAAGGAAUGGUUGAGUAACGAUCUAUCGGUGAGUAUUUCUCUAAGGCACUAUUGUGUAAGGGAUGAGUCCGAGGAAACGUGGCUCUGAUACCAACUGUAACGGCCCCGGAAUUUUAAAAUGAAAUGUGUGUAUUAAAAAUUUCAAAUGCGGAAGCGUAAUAGAAAUUUUAAUUAACAUCCCUUACACUAAAACCAAAAACGUGCUCAAAGUAUAAAAGAACAAACUAACUAAAAGAGAAACUCAAAAAUAAAAGCUAUAAAUAUAACUACGGAGUCUUCAAGCGUCCCCUUCGCCGUCUUCCUGCGGAACGGGCUCGGGAACAAUGUCUUCCUGAUCUGAAAUGAUUAAAUAAGGAAUGAGCCACACCAGCCCAGUAAAGACAUCAUACUAUCUCACCGUCACGGAGGUAAAGGUGGGUAGAAAACACAAAAAGACCAAUGGAGCAUAAUUUACAACAAAUUCUUUUAUCAAUAAUAAAAUCCUUUACUAUCCACUUACCUCGGUGAAGUUCAUAAAACAACAUACGAAAGCAAUAACCUUAUCAUCAUCAUGAAAUCAUAUGAACUGUAUAACAUAACACUUCUCAUGCCUUUUGCAUUUCAAUCAUUACACAACAUAUUUUUCCUCAUUUAUCAGCCUACUAGUAUCCAUGGGGAUCCAUAGGGGUCCCGCUACCCAUGAACCCUUAACACUUGUAAUCAGAUUCCAGGGCCGUCCCCAUACCCCGUCCGGAAUGGGCGCCAAAACUAUAAACCUCAAUACCCCGUCUGGUAUGAGGGUGAAACGGGCCGUCCCCAUACCCCGUCCGGUAUGAGAGACCACAAUCCCGGUAGGGUUCCCUACGGACCCGGUCCGUCCACCAUCUCCCAAGAUAUCUAGUCAGGCUGACCACAUUAUACAAUUUUCAAUUUACAUAACCUUUUAUUCCCCUUUUUCCUCAGUCAGCAUCAUCAAAUCACACACAAACAAACAAACCAGUAAUUUAUGCCAAACAAGACAACAUACAACAUCGGAUCCUCAGUCAUUCAACCCAUAAUCAAUAAAACAGUGAUAUAUGCACACGAAACUAAGAAAUGGAAACAUCAGACCUCAUACUGCAUUUAAAACUGUAAAAUAGAACAAACAACAAUUGAUCGACAAAUACACCAGACUCGGGCUCCAUUAGCGAUCUUAAACAAUUUCACACAUCUAUUGAUUCAUGAAAUACCGUUUUAUCAUUUAUUAAACUUUAAUACUGUGAUAGGAAAUAGGGUGAGGGGUCCUUACCUGUUUCGGGGUCUGAAUACGGCUCUACAGUGCGCUUACAGGCUGUCCCUAAUUUUUUCUGAAUUUUUCUCAGGAAACUGAAACGCACUACUGAUACCUCCACGUGUCUCAAAAAAUCCCAAAUUAGACCCAUGGCCCCUUUUGGCCAAUAUCGCAAUUCCGGCAUGGCAGCUCCGCCGUGCUCCGGCGCCAGCGGCGGCGAGUCGCCUCGGGUUGACUGUUUUCGGCCAUUUUUGGCCGAAUUCGGCCACACUCGCAUUGGUCCUUGUCAGAAAACAACCCUAGGGCCCUCGGGGGGCCAAAAAAUCACGGAAAAGCGGAGCUUACCGGCGGCGGCGCUCUCGGGUGCGGCGGCUCUCCGGCGAGGUUCGUGUUUUGGUGAUUUGGCUCCGAUCAACCUGUAGAGAAAAGAAUGGUGAUCACGGUGAUAUAAAAAUUGUAUCAAAUGGAGGCCGGGAAAGGGCCUCAUCGGAGGCAAAAACCGAGAGGGUGCGGCGCCGCCGCUGGGUUUCAGCCGUAUUUUCCAGCCGUUUGGCCGGGAUUUUGGCUCUGAUUUGGCCGCAGGAGAACUCAGCAUUGAAAAAUGAGCCGGGGGUAUGAAAUUUACCUCGAUCGGCGGUCGAAAAACUCCCCGGUGCGGCGGCGGGUGGCGGCGGCCGGCUCCUCUGGCGUCUGGUUCGUCUUCUCCAGCGAGGGCAGGCGGCUAGGGUUUUUUUUGGUCAGGUGUGGGGGUUUUAUUUAUACCCUUUUGCAUUUUAAUCGCAGCCGUCCAUCUUGAUUAAAUCUAGACCGUUCGUACUUGAUUGAAUCUGGGCCAUCCGUGCGCGUGCAUCUGGGCCGUCCGUGCGCAUGCUUAAUCUGGGUCGUCCGUGCGUGCGGGGACGCAUCUGGGCCGUCCGAUCGCGGGCACGCGGAUCGCCCACGUGGCCCGUUCCCGGGUUGACGUGGUCUUGCCACGCGGCAGGUCCUGGUUGGCCAGGGCUGCUGACUGGGCCGCUGACAUGGCUGCUGAUGGGGCACAAUUUUUCUAAAUUGCGUUUUGACCCCCGGUUUCCGAUUUUCUUUUCAAAAAUACCCCCAGAAUCCAAAUUUUCACCCAUUUUUUCCAAAAUCAAUUUCAAUUAAAUCCAAAUAAUAUUUUUACCCAAUUUUAUCAUUAUUAUUAUUUUAUUUUUAUUAAAUUAAAAUAAAAUAAAUUAAAAAAUCAAAAUAAUAAUAAUAAAAAUUAUAAAAUUAGUGGGUGUUACACGAUGCGACCGAUGAUCUCUGCGAUUGGAAACUAGAGGGAAAAUCAUGCGACGACAUGCAUCCUAAAAAGAAGGAGAUUCGUGAUGGUUGGUUGCCUAUCCUUGGCUUCUUUCGGUGCGAUUUCACCAUAUACGCAUGGGAUUUGAGUGCGCGAAGUGUUUUGUGGUGAAUUUUGAUCGAUUUGCGGUGGUUCGUGGCGAUGUACAGUGGCCAAUGGUGGUCUGAUAGUGACGCGUAGCAAAACAAGGACAUGUGUAAGGUGGCGUGUAGUGAUUCUGGUGAUCGAGAUCACACUACGGUAAAACUCAAUCUUCUUUUUGUAUUCUAAUUAUUUUCACAAUGUCCGUCUUUUAACUCAUGUAUUUUUGUUCAUAAACGAGAAAAUUAUCUAAACAGUAGCCAGAAUUUAGAGAUGAUGGUAAACUCGAACCAAUAAAGAUUCCGAUACUUUUCGAUUCGACUGUAGGUAAGGGAUUGAGUUAGUCUCAUUCAGAGACCCGAUGUUUUUAUGAAUUCUUGUUUUCCAUUGAAAUGAUUUGUUUACGGACUUUACAAACUGUUCACAUUUCUACAACGAGUUCUAUGAACUCAUCAUAUGUGCAUGUGUGCAAUUAUGUAUGAUUCGAGACCUACAUGAUGUUGUGUAUGACGUAUAAUUAUGUAUUCAUAUUGUUACUUAUAUGUAUAUGCAGAUUUUAUGUGUAACACCCAACUAUUUCUUAUUAUUAUUAUAUUUUAUUUUAAUUUAUUCUAUAUAAAUAUAAAUAAGUAUUAAUAGAAUUUAAUUUAAUUUAAUUUAUUUUAGUAGAAAUAAUAAUAAUAAUAAUAAUAAAAAGGGGUAAAAAAUUAUUUAGGGAUUUAAUUAAAAAUAAUUUUGGAAAAAAAGGUGAAAAUUUGGGUUCUGGGGGUAUUUUUAAAAGAAAAAUUGGAAACAUGGGGUCAAAAUACAAUUUAAAAAAGUUGUACCGCGUCAGCUGCUCGGUCAGCAGCCCCGGCCAACGGGAUGCGCCAGGUGGCAGAGACGCUGACGCAGGAGGCCACGCGGGAGGGAGCCACAUGGGCGAUCCACGUGCGCGCGAUCGAACGGCUGAGAUCCGUUCCCGUGCGCAUGGAUAGCCCAGAUCAAAAACGCGCACGGACGGCCCAGAUUGCAUCGCGCACGGAUAGCCCAGAAUGAAUCGCGCACGGACGGCUCAAAUUGAAUCGCGAUGAACGGUUCAGAUUCAUUUCCUAUUUAAUCGCGAUUGGACGGCCCAGAUUAAAAGUGAUGGACGACUCAGAUCAGAAGUGGAUGGGUAUAAAUAAUCUCAUCCGUACCCAAACCCUAACCCUAGCCAUCAGAACCCCUCGCCAGAGAAGACAGCCCAGCCGCCGGGGAGCCGACCACCGCUACCCACCGCCGUACCGGAGCAAUUUUCGGCUGCCAAACGAGGUAAAAAUUCUACCCUUUGCUCAAAAUUUGAUUCUAAACCCACCUACGGCCAAAUCAGAGCGAAAAUAUCGGCCAAUUGACCGAAAAAUGCUGCCGAAGCUUAGUGGCACUGCCGCGGGGUGUUUCGAUUUUCACCUCCGAUGAGGCCCUUGUCGAUUCCCGUUUAAUGUGAUUUUUCCACCGUUGUGAUCAUCGUUUCUUCAUCUACAGGUUGACCGGAGCAAAACACCAAAUCGCAACGUGAGUCGGAGGAGCCGCCAUAUUGGAGAGCCCCACCCUUAGUGAGUUUUGGUUUUUCACAUUUUUCCGGCUCACCGAGGGCCUUAAGUGUGUUUUCUCAUAGGAACCGAUGCAAGUUUGGCUGAAUUCAGCCGAAAACGGCCAAAAACAACCAACCUGAGGCGGAUUGCCACCGUGCCAGAAUUUCAAAAUUGGCUGAGUAGGCUCUGGGUUUGAAUUUUGGGUUAUUUGGGACAUGUGUAGGUACCGUAAGCGCGUUUCAGUUCCCGAGAAAAAAUUCAAGGAACCCAGGGACCGCCCAUAAUCGCAGUGACAAUUUAGUUUUCGGCAUCAAAUCAAGUAAGGACCCCUCACCCUAUUUUGUAUUAUGAAAUUAAAGUUUGAAUAAAUGAUAAUACUGUAUUUUGUACAAAUUAAAUAGAGAUGCAUAAUUAAUUACGGUUGCUAAUGGAGCCCGAACCGAAAAUUAUUCUUUGUCGAUUCCUGUUUGAUUUAUUUUAUAGUUUAAAAGCAUUAUGGUAUAUGAUUUAUCUAUUUUAUGAUUUUAAAUGCAUGUAUUGCUGCUUACUUCACUACUGUUUGAUUUUGGGAAUCUAAGAUAUGAUUGCAUUGUUAGAUGCACGUUACUUGUUUAUGUAUUUAUGUUUGAUUUGGUGACGGAGUUUAAGGACAAAUAGGAAUGGGAUGUGAUCUGAUAAAUGGAUAAGAUGACAGCUUCACUAGAUAUCCUGUGAGAUGGUGGACGGAUCGGGUUCAUAGGGGACCCUACCGUGAACGUUGCCUCAUACCGGACGGGGUAUGGAGACUUAGUCAUUUAGCACUCAUAUCAGACGGGGUAUGGCGACAACCCGCUUCAUCCUCAUACCGGACGGGGUAUUGAGGUUUAAAGUCUUGGCGCUCAUACCGGACGGGGUAUGAGGACGACCCUAGAAUUAAGAUAGUUAGAGAGAAUGGUUCACGUGUAACGGAGACACCCCUAUGGAUCCCUAUGGAUAUUAGUAGGCUGGUGAAAACGAGAAACGGUGAUAAUCAGUUAUUGUUAAUGAAUACAUAUUUAUGAUAUGUUUUAUGUUACUGAUUAUGCAUGGAAUUGUGAUCUGUAUGAUGUCAUUGUCUUUAUAAGUUGUUUUCAUAGGUUCUCCAAGGGUAAGAAAAAGGAUAAGUGAUUUUAUUUUAAAUAAACGUUUGUUUUAAAAUUUGUGCUCCAUUGGUUGUUUUUGAUUUUUUACCAACCUUUACUUCCGUGACAGUGAUGUAGUGUGAUGUCUUUACUAGGCUAGUGUAGCUCAUUCCUUAUUUAACCAUUUCAGAUCAGAAGGACCUGGUUCCCGAGCCUGAUCCACAAGAAGACGGUGAGUAGAUGCUAGAUGCUUUAUAGUUUUCUUUAUUUUUUUUCCUCACUUUCUCUUAUUUUUUUUAGACAACUUAUUCCGUGAUAUUAUUCAGUACUUUUAAGUUAUUGUGUAAGGGAUGUUAAUCUUAAUCUUUUAUUUUGCUUCCGCACUCAAAUUGUUAUAUGUAUUUCUUUUUGAAUUUUCAGGACCGUUACAGCACACUAGUUAUCGAGUUAUAGGUGUGUAUGAUGCAUAUAUAUAUGUAUUAUUAUAGGUCAUGUACGUAUGAGUGAACAACUUACAUGUGCUUGCGUAUCGAAUACACAUACAUCUUGUGUAAAUAUACAAGUAUAUUUAUGUUGUAUGUGUUGCGUGUACAUAUAUAUUUAUUUGAGUUGAUAAUUAUACAUAUAAAGUGUAUUUAUUGUACUUAUUGUGUAGACAUGUUGAUGUAUAACAUAUAUGAUGUAUAAGUAGGUACCUGCUUGAGUAGAUCAUCUAGUGGUGAACCUGAUUAGUAAAAGAACAACAUAAGAAUAUUUAAAAGACAAGAAAAUCUGUUUAAUCAGUAUCACUGAGGGAUGAGUGUGUGUGUAGCCUUUUAGUGUGUGAUUGUGGUGAAUCUUACCCGUGGAUAUAGUUUUAGCCAAACGUGGCGAAACGAUAAGGACUGUGAACUGUAUACUGUGUACUACAAAUUAUAAACUGUGAACUGAAUUAUAAUGUAUUCACGUGGUAGAAGAGAUCCUUAUUGCCCUCGUUGAUGCUGGCAGAAACGGCAUCGUGCGGUGAAACUAUUUUUAAUAAGAUAUAAACUGAUAGAAAGGAAUAGGAAGUCAUGAGUAAAGUUUAUGAUAUUGAAAUACUGAAUUAAUAUCUACUGAACUGCUUACUGCUUAAAUUGUGAUACUGAAUACUGAAUUAUGCUAUUUACGAAACUAUUUAUGCCAUGAGUUAUAAUAUUGAAAUAAGAAAUUCUGAAUGUUUACUGAAUAAACUGAUUUAGAAAAUUUAGUGAUUGAGUGUAUGUAUGUCUUUGUUAUGGGCACUGCCUCUUUUCCUUACUGAGUUCGUGAAGCUUACCCCAAUUCACAUCCUCCAAUGCAGAUUAGUCCAUAUCAAGAACAAGUUCAAGGUCGAAGGAAGACUUUGAAGAACGUUUAAUGACAGUAAGAGUUCUUUUUUUAAAGUCAAUUUAAUUAUAUUAUAGCAAUGUAAUGUAAAAAAUCUUGUAAGCCUCAUGACUUAUAAUUUCGUAUAGGGAAUGAUUAAAUAUUAAGUUUUCGCUUACUGCUGCAUAAAUUUAUCAGGUUAUGUAUGUAGAGUAGUGUUUCUUUUUCAACGAAGAAAACAGGUCGUUACAUUUAGUAGUACAUAUUUUAUUGAUUAGUAAAACUUCAAAGAUUUAAUGUACAAUUUUCUUAAAAAAAGUUUUAUAUAAUUCAAAAACAUGUGAGUGUUGAUCCGUCACUCUUUCCUCCUUCUUCGUUUGCCCAAAACGGUGCCGUGUGUAUUUUCUUCUGUUGGACAGAAAAUUUCAUGAAGAAUAUUAUUGGGCUACCAAAUAAAGUAGGCUUAGAAACUUAUGGCUAAUUGAAUAUCAUAUUUUAUGGGCUUGGCCUUCUAGUAUACUUUUAAAAAUUAACAAUAAAAAAUAAUAAAGUAAAAAAAUUACAGAACUAUUAUUUUUAAUAUUUUUAUCAUUAUACUUUUAUUUUGUUUAUCUAAAUUAAUGAAUGAAAGAAUGGUCACACACAUUUUUAUUUACCAACUUUUUUCCCCCUUAAAUUCAAUUAAAAAAUAAUGUAAAUGCCACCAUUGAGAAUAAAAAUUAUAUAAAAAAAGCAAAAGAAGAGAUUAAAAAUGAAGAAAAAAGUAUUGAAAUUCUGAUAAAUAUUCAUUCCCAUAACUGCAGCCAGUCAAUUAUAUAUAUAUAUACAUGGGAGAAAUUGUUUUACAGGCCUACAUUUCAUCAUAUGUGAAGAGGGUUGACCUAAUCAGGAUUUGUUGACUCAUUGGUGGCUGCAGCCAUCUCUUGGUGAGUUUCUGGUAAUCUUCCAGUAUCUGGAUCUGAGAAGGCUUCAUCCUUGCUCUUGCCCCAUAAAAUAAGGUACAGCCCUACAACAAUCACUAGUGCCCCAAUUACCCUGCAUAUAUACAUAUACACACACAUCAACAUACACAUACACAUACACAUGUACAUAUAUGCUUGCUCAUAAAAGUAGAGGAGUGCAAGGACCACUUGAUAUGUAAAUGGCUUAAAGAAGAGAAUGGUUUGAAUGUGGAUUAUUACUUAUGAAGGGAAAAAGCAAACAGUUGGUUCUUAACUAAAGAAUGACACGAACAUGACCCAUUUAAAAGUAUGAACUUUUUUACAAUUCCUUCAUUUGGGUAUUAAGAAGAAAUUAUGUUAUUUUUGAGUAUGUAUAUAAAGUUUUAGUUGGAUUAAGUAUGAAUUACAAAUAAAUUUUUAAAUUUGAUCUAAAGAUGUUCUCCAUAAGUUUUCCAAAAUACAAAAAAAGUAAAAUAAAGGAAAUUAUUUUGGAUGCACAAUUAUAACUAAUUAAUCAACGUGAAUAAUGCAAAAUCAACCAACCAUAUAUAUAUAAGGAAAUUUCUUGAUUAAAUAUAUAUAUAUAUAUAUAUAUUUACAUAUAUACAUACCUUCCAAGGCGCAUUUGUUCAGAGAGAACAAAGGAGCUCAAAAUUGCUACAAUGACCAUGUUUAGAGGAUUAAAUGAACUCACAAAAACAGGACCUCUCUUCUUCAUCACCCAUCCCAUUAUAUAAUAUGCCAAUCCAGACACUAAUCCCUGCAUUUACAACACCUUCAAAUUUCUUUUUCUUUUCUUUUCUUUUUAAUUUCAAAUAUAAAUUUUAAAUACAUAAUUUUAUCAUACAUUUUUAUAUUUAAUUCCAAAUAAUUUUAUAAUAAAAUGACUUACUCCAUAAAUAGCUGCAAGAAGCUUAACGUCAAAACAAAUUAACCAUACUUUUGGAUCUUUUCUCUCCAAUACAAGAGUCAGUAUAAUGCACUGCACUGAUCCGAUUAGGCACACCAGACAAGUGAGUGAUAAUUCAGCUGGGUAUGAUUUUAAUGUUACUGCCUACAAAAUUCAAAAUUACCCAUGUUAAUUUAUGUGGGUAAUUAGAGAUUUGAUUACCCAAAAUGGAAAAUUAAUUACCCAAAAUAAAAAAAUCUUUACUUGCAAAAUAAUGAAGCAAGACCAGCUGAAACAGCCAACUACAAUCAUGGCAGCACCCUUGAUGAGAUCUUGUUUGGUAACAUCUGUUGGAGAUUGAUGAUGAUGGAAGAUUUUAACUCCUGUCCAUGGCAUUGGAAUUGCAGGUCCUUUAACCAGGGUCAUCAUCAUUGCUCCUCCAACAGCAACCAGAGUCCCCAUUACUUUGGCCUGGCUAUGCAGCUUCUUGAUUUUCACCUUCUCAAGCCUUAUAUUUCCCAAAUUGAACUUAUACAUCACACAGGUUUGUAAGCUUGUAUGUGUAUAUAUAUAUAUAUGUAUGUAUAUGUGUAAGGACUUACCUGCAGAUGCAAGCCAGCAGAAAUGUCAUGGCAGGAAGAAUGUUGCACAUUGCAGAUAUGAACGUUGCUGUUGUGUGCUUCAUUCCUGUGUAGAACAAGUUCUGGUCCAUCACAGGCCUAUAUUAAUAAAGGUUAAUUACUUGAUUAAUUAACAAUUAAUCAUCAUCUUAAUAGAGAUAAGGAGUAAUUUGCAUUAUAACAUAUUUGAGAUUUCUUACUCCAAUAGUCCGAGUAAGAAAAUUUUAGCAAAGAUCGGAAAUGUCAUUCUUGGUCUUGUUUUCCUGUCCGAUAAACAUAUCAAGCACAUCAAAUUUGACCCGCUUUGUUUUUAAACUAAUAGUGGUUAUACUUGAAACGUUAUAGGGUAUUAAAUUCUAUUAUUGAGAUUAAAAAAAAAAAUACACGAAAACAAGGAAAAAGGGGAAGGAGGAAAAUUAAACCUUUCGAAAAUGAUAACAAAUGGGGCGAUUAGAAGAGCAGCAACUGCCAUUCGGUAAGCAACCAAGACAUGAGGACUCAUGCCUUGAUCGAGAGCAAAUUUUGCGACAAUCGACAUGGCUGCAUAGCUGCACUGCAUGAAAAUCACAGCCAAAAUCGGUCUUGCGCUACUCAAUCGUCUCAUUUCCAUGGACAACGAUGAAACACAACUUCUACGAUUUAUUUAUCGUGUCCGGUGAUUUUCAAGUAGUCAAGAAAAGUGCUUAUAAAUUAAGUUGAGGAGUGUAAAGUUUGAUCUGUUUGAAGCAGAAAGAGAGAACGCCAAAAAGCUCCCUAAAAAUGAGCUGGUAAAACCAUGAAUCAUUCAUUACUAGUCUUUUUGUGCCUUUGCUCAGCACUCAUUGCUUAGGUGGUUUUGGAUUUUUGUCCAUUAAUAUGCUUCAACAAUAUUUAAAUGUGGAUAUCUACAUAAUGGGAGUUAUAAUUACAGUUUUUAUUUUUUUAAAAUUAACCAAUGAAAUUAAAAAGUUAAUAUAGAAAUUAAUUUAAAAUCGUCAUUCAUUUUUUUUUUUAUAAAUAAACGUUGACUUAUAAGUUACAUUUUAAUUCUUAUUUUUUUAAUAUAUAAUUUAAAAUUAGUAAAUUUUUUAGUUCUGAUAAAGAAAUUGAUAUAGAAUAUUUUUUUUUUAUAUAAAAAAGACUUAAGAAUUAUUAAAAAAAAAAUUUAGAUAACGGACAGAGAAGUUAUAAAUUGUCUAAAUAAUUAAAUUAUAACAUUAUUGAAAAAUAAUAAUUACAUUACCAAAUAGAAGGAUUUACAAGUCUAUAUAUUUUAGCAUUAUAAGCAUGUGUGUGAACCAAAUAUUAUUAAUUGGGAAGGAGGUGGAUAGACGAAGAUGUAUUACUUACCAAACAAGUAAUUUAUUGCUUAAAAAUAAGUAAAGUUAUCGUAAAAAAUAAAAAAUAAAACUCUCAAAAUAUUUGCAAUUACUUUGAAAAUCCCAUUAUAGAACUUUCCUUAAUUCAGUCAAAAUUCCUCAUCAAGUUUACUAUGGAAUAUAUAAAUGAAACAUAGGACUUGAAAACCGUUUUUUCUUUAAUUACUAUUCAAGAAAGAUAAAGAGAAAUGAUAAAAUUGAACGUUAUAACUUAUGAAUUAGUUGUUAUUAAUGAAAAAGAAGAAUUUAAAGGAGAAGAAUUUAAACUUGAAGUAUAGGUGAGCAUCAUUCUAGAAUCAGACUCGAUGAGACCAAGUUUGAUAUGUUCUUAAAUUAAAAUGGACCAAAAUUUGCUUAAAAAGUUAUUUUUUAAAAUAUAAAUAUUUAUAUAUUUAUAAUUUUAAAUGUUAAAAAAUAUUAAUUGGUUCGGAUUAAAUUGGAACGAACACAAACCAUAAUGGACUGAAAAUUUUGGACAAAGAUUUUUAAACUGAAUACCACAUGUAGUGGCCCGAAAUUUAAAACGAAAUAAAAUUAUAAAUUGAAUGCCAAAAUGGAAUAAUAGAGUUAAAGUUUACAUUAUAUAAUAGUUUUAAAUACCCAAUAGGGUUAUGAGAAUGUUCUUUCUAAAAGAAUAAACGAAAAUUAAAGAAAUAAACGAAAAGUAGACAACUAAGCAUUUUAGGAAGACCUUUACUAGCUUUUGAAGGAGUUCGUGUAACGCCCAGGAAUUGGAAGAGAAAAAAAAAAAAAGCCACGUCAGCAGCCACGUCAGUAGACCCAGUCAGCAGUCCCGGCCAACUAGGACCUGCCACGUGGCAAAACCACGUCGACCAGGGACGGACCACGUUGGCGAUCCGUGUACGCGCUAUCGGACGGCCCAGAUCAAGCGGGCGUACGGACGGCCCAGAUGAAAUCGCACGGACGACCCAGAUUUAAUCAAAAAACGGACGGCCCAGAUUAAAACAAAAUGGACGGCUGAGAUCAAAAGGCAAAAGGGUAUAAAUAGAACCCCCACACCAUACCACAAAAACCCUAGCCGUCUGCCCUCGCCGGAGAAGAUGAAACAGACGGCGGAGACGCCGGCCGCCGCCGCACCGGGAAGAUUUCCGACCGCCGAUCGAGGUAAAUUUCAUACCCCCGACUCGUUUUUCCACGCUGAUUUCUCCUGUGGCCAAAUCGGAGCCAAAAUCCCGGUCAAACGGCCGGAAAAUACGGCCGAAAUCCAGCGGCGCCGCCGCGCCCCUUCUCGGUUUUUGCCUCCGAUGAGGCCCUUUCCGGCCUCCGUUUGAUGCAAUUUUUAUAUCACCGUGAUCAUCAUUCUUUUCUCUACAGGUUGAUCCGAGCUGAAUCACCAAAACACGAACUUCACCAGAGAGCCGCCGCACCCGAGAGCACCGCCGCCAGUAAGCUUCGGUUUUUCGUAAUUUUUUGGCCCCCCCAAGGGCCCUAGGGUUGUUUUAUCGCAAGAAUCGAUGCAAGUGUGGUCGAAUUCGGCCGAAAACGGCUAAACCGAGGUGAAUCGCCGCCGCAAGCGGCGGUGGCGCCGUGCCGGAAUUGCGAUAUUGGCCAAAAAGGGGCCCUGGGCCUAAUUUGGGAUUUUUUUGGAACACGUGCAGGUACCAGUAGUGCGUUUCAGUUCCCCGAAAAAAAUUCAGGGAAAAUUAGGGACAGCUGUAGGCGCACCGUAAAGCCGUGUUCAGAUCCCGAAACGAGUAAGGACCCCUCACCCUAUUUCCUAUCACGGUAUUAAAGUUCAAUAAAUGAUAAAACGGUAUUUCAUGAAUCAACGAAUGUGUGAAAUUGCUUAAGGUCGCUAAUGGAGCCCGAGUCUAGUGUGUUUGUCGGUUAACUGUUAUUUGGCCUGUUUUACAGUUUUAAAUGCAGUAUGAGGUUGGAUGUUUUCAUUUUAUAGUUUCGUGUGCAUAUUUUACUGUUUUACUGAUUAUGGAUUGAAUGACUGGGAUAUUGAUGCUGUAUGUUGUCUGUUUGGCAUAAAUUACCGUUUUGCUUGUUUGUAUGUGGAUUGAUAAUGCUGACUGAGGGAAAGGAUGAUGAAAGAUUAUGUAAAUGGGUAAUUGUAUAAUGUAGUCAGGCUGACUAGAUAUCCUGGGAGAUGGUGGACGGACCGGGUCCGUAGGGAACCCUACCGGGAUUGUGGUCUCCCAUACCGGACGGGGUAUGGAGAUCUUAUGUGUUUUGGCGCCCAUACCGGACGGGGUAUGGGGACGGCCUGUUUCACCCUCAUACCAGAUGGGGUAAUGAGGUUUAUAGUUUUGGCGCCCAUACCGGACGGGGUAUGGGGACAGCCCUGAAUAUGAUUUCAAGUGUUAAGGGUUAACGGGUAGCGGGACCCCUAUGGAUUCCCAUGGAUACUAGUGGGUUGGUAAAUGAGAAAAAUAUGUUGUGUAACGAUUGAAUUACGAAAGGCUUGAUAAGUAUUAUGUUAUACAGUUUAUAUAUGAUUUCAUGAUGAUGAUAAUGUUAUUGCUUUCGUAUACUAUUUUAUGAAUUUCACCGAGGUAGGUGGAUGGUGAAGAAUUUAUUAUUGAUAAAAGAAUUUGUUGUAAAUUAUGCUCCAUUGGUCUUUUUGUGUUUUCUACCCACUUUUACCUCCGUGACGGUGAGAUAUCGUGAUGUCUUUACUGGGCUAGUGUAGCUCAUUCCUUAUUUAAUCAUUUCAGAUCAGUAAGACAUUGUUCCCGAGCCAGUUCCGCAGGAGGACGACGAAGGGGACGCCUAAAGACUCCAUAGUCAUAUUCGUAGCUUUUACUUUCAAGUUUCUCCUUUAGGUAGUUUGAUCUUUUAUAUUUUGUGAGCACGUUUUUUGUUUUAGUGUAAGGGAUGUUAAUCAAAUUUUUGACUUCGCUUCCGCAUUUGAUAUUUUUAAUAUACAUUUCAUUUUAAAUUUCUGGGGCCGUUACAAUUGGUAUUAGAGCCAGGUUUCCUCGGACCCAUCCCUUACACAAUAGUGCCUUAAGAAUAAUACUCACCUAUAUAUCGUUACUCAAUCAUUCCUUGUGAAUGCAGGUACACGGGAAUGAGGAGAGGAAGGCCCCCACUAAACCGAGCGGCCCAAGAUAAUUCGCUUCGGGAGGAUUUAGACAGACUAUUUGAGAUGGUGGAGGCUCUCGUAGCUGCCCAGCAAAGGCAAGAGGAGAGAAGGGAGUUACCCGGACCUCCUUCGCUAGCGCAGGUUGAGCCCCCGCUCCAGCAGGCUGAUCACGAGCCACCCCGGCAGGAGCCUGUUCCUCCACAGUACCACCCGGCACCACAGCCGCGGUACGACCCGGUACCACAGCCACGGUACCAGCAGGUGCCGCCACAGCACAUUCCAGUGCCCCCACCACAUCCGCAGGUGCCACCACAGGGUCCCCCAGUUCACCCUCAGCCGGCCCCAGUCCCUCUACCUCAGGACCCCGCUCCUUCCUUGAUCGACCCCGGCUUCAUAGAGAGGUACAGAAGGCUGAACCCUUCUACUUUUUCAGGGGGAUCCUCUUUCGAAGAGGCCCAAUACUGGCUGGCAGAGACUGAGAGAGCUUUCGAGACCUUGGGAGUAGUUACUGAGCAGAGGGCUGCCAUUGCCUCCUACAUGCUGGUAGGUGAGGCAGUACGUUGGUGGGAGCUCAAGCGGGCCACCCUGCCUACACUAGCUACUUGGGAGCAGUUCCUAGCGGCCUUCCAUGCGGAGUAUCUCCCUAAACACAUCCAACAUUUAAAGGAAAUGGAAUUUGCUCAAUUGGUCCAAGGUAAUAUGACAGUGUCGGAGUAUGCCCGCAAGUUCCUGGAGCUGGGCCGACAUGCCCCGGAGACAUUGUUGGAUGAGGGCCGAAAGGCCAGGAAAUUCCAGUGGGGCCUCCGCCCAGCGAUCAGACAGCACUUGUUGGUGAUGGAGCUCGAGACAUAUUCGGCAGUCCUGGCAAAGGCGCAGAUCAUAGAAAGGAGCUUCGACACCCGCCCUCAGCUAGCGGGAAGUUCCCGACCUUCAGCCCCGUUCCGCAGGCCAGCGCCUACCAUGCCUGUCCAACCCAGUAAGAGACCCAGGCCUGCCGUUCAGGGCCCUCCUCAGGCUAUGGCGGCAGCACGUGGGAAGAUCUGCCAGUACUGCGGCAGGGAUCAUGGGGACCGACCCUGCUACCGCCUCAACAACACCUGUCGCAUAUGCGGCAGUGCCCAGCACUAUGCGAGGGAGUGCCCUACGAACCAGAAUCAAGGGAGGCCUCCCAUCCAGGGCAGAGUUUACAACCUUACCCCAGAAGGAUGCCGACGCAGACCCGGGACGUGGUACAUGGUAUGUAUACUAUCUCUGGCCACAUUGCUCAUGUUUUGUUUGAUACUGGUGCAUCACAUUCUUUUAUUUCACAUGUUCUUGCUUCCAAAAUUUGUGUAUCACUGAUAGACUUGAUUCAUUAUUGCUUGUAUCUACCGCUGGGGGGGAGACAUUGUUAGGAGAGGUUGUCUACAGGGCAUGUGCCGUGGAGAUAGCAGAUAGAAAAUUGAGGGUAGACCUGAUAGGGUUAGACACGGGGGAUUUUGAUGUAAUCCUAGGAAUGGAUUGGCUAGCGGCGUAUCAUGCCACCAUAGACUGCUUUAACAAAAAGAUUAUAUUUAAUCCUCCCAACGAGGAGCCAUUUACAAGUUAAUAAAAUUAUUCAGUACUGAUUUCCCCUAAUGGCAAGUUUUUUCUUAAUUCCCAGUGCCUUAAUCUUGUAUUUUCUCUAACUAGGUAAACCCAAGAAAGAAGUUUGUAUCCAAGAGAUUCCAGUAGUCCGAGACUUUCCAGACGUAUUUCCGGAUGAACUGCCCGGUCUACCAGUGGACAGAGAGGUCGAGUUCACCAUAGACUUACAGCCAGAAACCCAGCCCAUCUCGGUAGCUCCUUACCGAAUGAGCCGCAUCGAGAUGGAAGAACUAAGGAAACAGAUCACUGAGCUACAAAACAGUGGUUUCAUUAGACAUAGCGUUUCCCCACGGGGUGCCGGGGUUACUUUUGCAAAGAAGGGAGAUGGAACGUUGAGACUGUGCAUUGAUUACAGAAGGAUAAACAAGGUAACAAUUAAGAACAAGUACCCUCUUCCCCGGAUUGAUGACCUUUUCGAUCAGUUGCAGGGUGCACAGGUCUUUUCUAAAAUAGAUCUACGAUCAGGUUACCAUCAGGUAAAAGUGAGAGCAGAAGACAUCCCCAAGACGGCAUUCCGAACCCAGGUACGGACACUAUGAGUUCCUGGUUAUGCCGUUUGGGCUAACCAACGCCCCGGCCAUCUUUAUGGAUCUAAUGAACAGGAUCUUCAGAGAGUUCUUGGAUCAAUUUGUCAUCGUGUUCAUCGAUGAUAUCUUAGUCUACUCAAAAAGUAGAGAAGAACAUGCUCAUCAUCUUGCCCAAGUCCUACAGGUACUCAGGAAAAAGAAGUUGUAUGCAAAGUUGAGUAAGUGUGGAUUUUGGCUCGAGCAAACCGCCUUCCUAGGACAUGUUAUAUCGAAGGAAGGGGUGUCAGUGAACCCCGAAAAGGUUGAAGCGGUACUUAGUUGGGAAAGGCUGACAACAGUUAAGGAAAUUCGCAGUUUCCUGGGGAUGGCAGGUUAUUACCGCCGGUUUGUCGAAGGGUUCUCUAGUUUAGCAGCUCCUCUAACCCGACUCACAAAGAAGAAUGCAAAGUUUGAGUGGAAUGAGAACUGCGAAAGGAGUUUUUCAGAAUUGAAGAAGCGGCUGACUACUGCACCCGUCCUGGCUCUACCGAGUGGAUCAGGAGGGUACACAGUUUACAGUGAUGCCUCCUAUCUGGGCCUAGGUUGUGUCCUGAUGCAACAUGGAAAGGUUAUAGCAUAUGGGUCUAGACAGCUAAAGAAUCAUGAGAAGAACUACCCUACCCAUGACUUGGAGCUUGCCGCAAUCAUACACGCCUUAAAAACCUGGCGCCAUUAUUUGUAUGGAGAGACCUUUCAGAUCUACACCGAUCAUAAGAGUUUGAAGCACAUCUUCACCCAGAAGGAUCUCAACAUGCGUCAGAGAAGGUGGAUGGAACUCCUNNNNNNNNNNNNNNNNNNNNNNNNNNNNNNNNNNNNNNNNNNNNNNNNNNNNNNNNNNNNNNNNNNNNNNNNNNNNNNNNNNNNNNNNNNNNNNNNNNNNNNNNNNNNNNNNNNNNNNNNNNNNNNNNNNNNNNNNNNNNNNNNNNNNNNNNNNNNNNNNNNNNNNNNNNNNNNNNNNNNNNNNNNNNNNNNNNNNNNNNNNNNNNNNNNNNNNNNNNNNNNNNNNNNNNNNNNNNNNNNNNNNNNNNNNNNNNNNNNNNNNNNNNNNNNNNNNNNNNNNNNNNNNNNNNNNNNNNNNNNNNNNNNNNNNNNNNNNNNNNNNNNNNNNNNNNNNNNNNNNNNNNNNNNNNNNNNNNNNNNNNNNNNNNNNNNNNNNNNNNNNNNNNNNNNNNNNNNNNNNNNNNNNNNNNNNNNNNNNNNNNNNNNNNNNNNNNNNNNNNNNNNNNNNNNNNNNNNNNNNNNNNNNNNNNNNNNNNNNNNNNNNNNNNNNNNNNNNNNNNNNNNNNNNNNNNNNNNNNNNNNNNNNNNNNNNNNNNNNNNNNNNNNNNNNNNNNNNNNNNNNNNNNNNNNNNNNNNNNNNNNNNNNNNNNNNNNNNNNNNNNNNNNNNNNNNNNNNNNNNNNNNNNNNNNNNNNNNNNNNNNNNNNNNNNNNNNNNNNNNNNNNNNNNNNNNNNNNNNNNNNNNNNNNNNNNNNNNNNNNNNNNNNNNNNNNNNNNNNNNNNNNNNNNNNNNNNNNNNNNNNNNNNNNNNNNNNNNNNNNNNNNNNNNNNNNNNNNNNNNNNNNNNNNNNNNNNNNNNNNNNNNNNNNNNNNNNNNNNNNNNNNNNNNNNNNNNNNNNNNNNNNNNNNNNNNNNNNNNNNNNNNNNNNNNNNNNNNNNNNNNNNNNNNNNNNNNNNNNNNNNNNNNNNNNNNNNNNNNNNNNNNNNNNNNNNNNNNNNNNNNNNNNNNNNNNNNNUAACUGGUUCUUCUUCUCUGACGGGAGGCUGGCAACUAGGGUUUGGGUUCGGUGUGAUGCGAAAUAUUUAUACUCCUCUUGCGUUAAUCUAAACUGGUCAUUGUGUUUGAUCUCGACUCUCCAAUCGCGUUUAAAGAAAAAAUAGAUAUGAACCGUUCAUUGCAAUUUGAUCUCGACCGUCAGAUGACAUUUAAAGAAAGAGUGAAUCUGGGCCAUUUAUCGUGUUUAAUUGCGACCAUCCGAUCGCGCCUGAUGAGGGAACGGAUCUGGACCGUCCGAUCACAGGGCACGCGGAUCGCUAGCGUGACCUUCCGCGUGACACCGAGUCAGCGUACCUUACUACGCAGCGCGCUCCGGUUCGUUAGAGCUCCUGACUGGACAAUUUUUCGUGGCACAAUUUUCUUUAAUUGCGUUCUAAUUCCUAAUUUCUGAUUUUUUUUUUCAAAAACACAAUUUGAACCCAAAUUUUCACAUUUUUUUCUCAAAAUUGUUUUCAAUUUCAUCAUCAACUUAUUUUUUUUUCCUAAUUUUAUAUUAAAUAAAAAUUUAUUAAUUUCAAAAUUAUAUUUUUAUACAUAUUUUAAUUUUUAAAAUUAAUUCCGGAUUAAAUUCUGAAACCAAGUAUUACAAAAAAAUAUAAUAAAUUUAUUUAGAGACAUACCAUAAGCUUAAGAUAAAUGUAAUUAGCAACCGUAAUCUAAAGUAAUUACGAAUGACAAAUUUUUUAAAUGACUUAAUAAUUGAAGACUAAGAAAAAUAAACUCAUAAAGGACUAUUACCAUGGAUGUAGACAAAUCUCAUCAAAACUAUAUAUUAAUAUUUUUGCUUAUUAUAUGAAAGCAACAGGUGGAAAUAGUUGAAAUAUGAGAUCAAAAACAUUGUUAUAAGGGGACUAUUAUCAGUAAUAUACACAAAUAUUUUAAGAUACUUUAUAUUGGAAUUUAUUAUUUGAUUAAGAUAUUUUAAAAUUAAUUUUAAAUCAGAGUUUUAAAGAAUAAUACCAAGUAAAUUUCUUUAUGUGUUUUUAUGUUUUCUAAAUACCUUAAUGACAUUUCCCCGUUGGAUUUCUUAUCUCAAAUUCUAUUAAUAUUAGGAAGGUAAUUAAUAAUUUUCCUAAUCAUAUAUAUAUGUAUAUAUAUAUCUCCACAUGAAUCUAAUGAUUCUGAUUUUGAUGAUUUUGUCUGCCCCAAAAAAAUAAAAAUAAAAAAAUAGAGAAGCCGUUUGAUUUCCCCAGUCCAUUAAUUGUAAUUAACAUUUAUAAAUGACAUCUCAAAGGUCACCUGUAAUGGAUUCAAAUUACAUAAUUAUGCAUUUAAUUACAUUGUUAAUUAUGGAAAUUAAAUCAUUAAAAAUCUGUUAUGCGGUUAAUAUAAUCUAUGCUUGAAAGGCAAGUGAAAGGUCAAAAUAAUAUAAAAUUCGUCCAAUUACUUCUGGUUCAUGAAUCACCUUUAAAAAAAUUCAAAGAACACUGGAUUUUAUAUAAUAUUUAAAGAUUUUCCUUUUUUUUUUUAAAAAUAAAUAUAUUUAUGAUCACAUUUAAAUAGUUAAUUCAGUGUACGAUAACUAAUUAAAAUCAUAUUAUUAUUGUUCAAAAUAUGAUAAGAAAUAAAUUUUUUGUUUAUUUACAAAAAAUUGAUCUAUAUACUAACUGAAUUAAAAAUGAAUUUUGUAAAUUUCAACGUGAAAUUAUUUGAAAAUUUAUUAAAUAAGCUUAGAGUUGUGUUAUUCAUAAUAAUAAUUCACAUAUCUAUAUAUAUAUAUAUAUAUAUAGAUAUGCAUGUACUCUCUAAAAUUAAUUAAAAUAUGUUACUAUGAUUUUAAUUUAUUUGCAAGAAGAAAUUUCAAUAUUUUACUUAAUUUAAUAUGACCAAUAUAAUGUUUUAUUAAAAUGGUGCAAAUUACUUAAUAUAAUAUCAAAUUCUCUGCAAAACUUUUCUUCAAUUAUCUUAAAUAAUGCAAAAAAUCACUUAAUUUAUAUUAAUUUUUCACGAUAAAAUUAAAAUCUUAUUAGAUAAUUAUGUAAAACUUCAAGAUUAAUUAACAGCUAUCAUAUGAGACCUCUUGGUCCCGACUAAUAUUUCUCAUUUUAUUAAUUAUUUAUUCACUCAAGGCUCGGGCGUGGCAGGAUCCCAUUGGCCCAAGGCUUUCUUAUUAUCUGCGUUCAGCAUAUGGGAUCAUUCCCACCACGUCAGCAAUGUACAUAAGCACUCGUGAGAACCAAUAGCAUGAUGCCACGUUCUCGAACUUAUUUGUAAGAAAUAUGGCAAGCUCACCUUCACUACUACUGCACGAAAAUUGGUCAGAGUUUGGUCAUGCAAAUCUACGGUCAUGCAGUGUCCAUCCCUUUUAGUCUAUCAUCAAGAACCUGACCGCCUAGAUCUGAGACACGUGUACGGUGAAGAUAAAGCAACGAGUACUAGCAAUACAAUGCAGCUAUUCAUAGAAUUUCUCUCUUCGCUGAGUUAGAACCGAUGCUCCCUGUCACCUACAAAAACCCCCCUCCAUCUCUGUACUAAGAGACACUGCAAUACCUUUCAGUAUUUCACUGACCGGCAAAAGGGUCCAGAAUAGAGAAAGUAGAAACUUGUCUCCGUCAAGUUCUUGUCGGAAAAUCUAUCUGGUGAGGAUAUAUCGGUGAACAGUGCUCUCUCUAUAAUUGAUCUCAUUUUCCAGUGUUUUUAGUUUUCAUUUCUCCACGCGUGUAUUUUUGUAAAUCAACUUUGAUUGCUUAGAGCAUUUUUGCCUCCGUUAAGAGGCGUGGUUUUCUCCUCUGUAAAUAUUUGAAUGCAUGUUGUUUUAUCGGCGUCUUUGAUUGAUUGGUUCGAGGUGUUGAUUGCCACGUUUUGUUUUAUUUACGUUUGUUUCUUCGGAUUGAUCAUGGAGCCAAGCAAAAGCUUCGAGGUUUUUCAUUCUUUCUGAUUAAAGCUUAAUAUUUCUGUAUGGAUUGUUUAUGCAGAGCGGCUUAGUGUAAAGCGCGGUUGCUUUCCAGAGAGUUUGGGUUCGAGCUUUGGGGUGUGGUGGGAGCGGACUCGAGUGUCUUGAGGGCGAGUUGGGUCACUGGUCAGUGCGGGUGACUCGGACUUGGAGAAUUUUCUCGGAGGUGAAAAUGGUAGGGUUGCAACACGAAUUGAACCCUUGGCAUGCUGUGUUACAUUUUUUUUUCCUUCAAAAUUAGCUGUUCUUUAAAUAAGAAAAAAAGAACUUAUCUUUUCGGCUUCCGUGAUUAGGGCUUCGCGUGUCAUGUUCUAUUUGGUUCUUUUAGACGCACUAUUGGUUUAUGUUGUACUUCGCGUUCUUAACUUUUAGAGGCAGAGUAUGUUUGUACUUUUGAUGAUUUUUCUUUUCUACUCUCAAUUGGUUGUGAUUUCAGGGUUGUGAGGAUGAAAAGCUUUGGUUAAAAUGCCACUGUGUUAUGUUCCUAAUAUAAAUAUGUAUACACACACACACGUAUAUGUAAUUGUUUUUGUUUGAGUUAUGGUUCAAUACUUAAUAUUUUGAUAUGAUAAAUAUGGUUUAGUUGAAAUGGAACUUGUUUUCUGUUUUCUGGUUCAACGUUCAGAACUUUGAUGUGAUUUAAUUUGCUGGUAUUUUUAGCUCAUCACUCAUGAAUAAGCAAGUAGAGAGAUGCGCUGUUAUUAAGUUUUAUUGAUUUUUCCUUUUGUGUUUGCUAUAAUCAUUACCAUCUUAACAAGAGUAGGAGAAUGUUUGUUAUGAGCAGGAUUGCCCAUAGGUUGUGUCAGAUUCUUUGUGGUCAGAUGAUAUUUAAAUGCGAGUGAUGGGGAAAUGAACUGGUCAAUUAAUGGAAAGAAGUCCAUACAGAUUAGGCAGAUGUGGACAUAUAAUUACCAGGAUUAUUUACCAUUUUCGGAAUCUACAUUCGGUUGCCCUUUUCCUCUUUGUGGUGCCUUUCCAGAUCUGGGUUUGGUUAUCCGAAUUUCUCGUGACAAUAAAACAGAGAAUGGAAUUUUUUAUCUAAAAAAUAUGAAAUGAAUGCAUUAUUUGGAUGAAAGAAUAAGAAGAGAUUAGCUACAUGCUUUUAAAACUCUGGUCCUAUAUUCCUGUGUUAGCUACAGGUCAACCUGUUGUUCACUUAUUCCUCUAUUCCUAGAUUGGUCUGUCUUCAAGUAGAUUGUCAUACUGCUAGUGCAGUACUGCUUGGCAUAUAAGGUUGGAAAUGAUUGGCUAUGAUUCCAGUAUACGUUAGGAAUCUUGUUUUUCUAUUGAUGAAACUGCACUGUCUUUGCAGCAUUUGGUGUAUUGCUACACUUGAAUUAACCGAGAAAUAGAUGGAAACCAAAAAAUUAGAUUUAUAGAUUUGGGAAUAGUAUCUUGGACUAGUAAAUCUUCGGGAUAUUGGUGCUGGAUUCAAGUACAGUUUGAUGUAUGGCAACAUGACAAGUCUUGAAUAAGUAUUGGACACUAUGGAUGAGUGACUGAGUUGCAUGAUGGAUUGAUGUGAUUGUGUUUUACAAUUUUAUAUAGUUUUCAUUACAAGGCACAAGUCUUGAAUUUUGCUUCUAUGUGCUGCUGUUGACAUUUUCUUUUUUCUACCAUGUGUCACCUGUUCUUCCCAGUUGUGUUGGUGUAAGAUAGUGGGUUGACACGUUUAUCUUGUUCUUCCUAGGUUUUUUUGGACUUUGCAUUUUCUUUUUCCACUUUUCACUAAAGUAAUCUGGUUUUCUUCUUGUCUUCUUGGGCUGUAUUUCCUUUCUUACUUCUAUAUAUGGUUACUUAGUUGUGGAGGUCCCAAAUUCGAGAUAUUUCUUGCUUCGUUAACUUUAUGUAACUACAUUCCUAAACAUAUUCCUGUACAUUAUCAGGAUCCAUUCGUGUCAUGUAAGAUACUGUAUAUUAUUGAUAAGAUGCUUUACAUAUUAUACAACCGAGUUGGUAGAAAGGUUCUUCACCUUGCAUUCAAACAUUGUGGUGAAAUGCCUGACUGCUAAAAAUUUUUUGGUUGUUGAUCUUCGAUAUAAUUGAGAUUCCUGAUAUCCUUAGUCUGUGGGUUACUUGGAGAAAUGGAAGAUUUUCAGGUUUUAGAAAAUCAUUAUCUGCUUUAGAUCAAAAUUGCAAAAUCUUGACAAGUUCACUGAAAGGUUAUUUGCCUUGUUUCACUCUUUGAUUAAAAAUCAAUAUAUUCAAAGCUUUAUAUCUGACUAGGGAAAAAAAGUCUGGAGGUGUUAAGAGGUUUCCUUUUACCUGUAUGUUCGAAACUGCGAUAACCUUGAAAAGGAUGUUAAUAAUGUCUUACACAUGCAAUCUUAGUCCGUGAUUUGAAGAAUUUGGGUUCUGAGGUCUAAUUCUAGAAAUUGGAAAUAUUUGGCAAAAGAUUCGUAGAAAUUCUCGUUUUUUGGGUCUAGGAAAGGUUGGCCCUCUUGGACCUGAUAGGAAAUGCUCGUCAGACUUUUGAUCAGCAUCUUUUGACUAAGGAAAACUGAUAUUCUGCUUUCUGUAAUUCAUUGAAUCUCAAGUGGACUACGAUAUUGAUGUAUUUGUAACUGUCUAGAGGAAAAGCAUCUCAGGUGGGAAAUCAGGAUGUUUCUAUAGACUUGGACAUUUUAGUUAUGCAUAUUUAAUUUUUUCAAGAAUCAAUCAAUUUUUAGUCUAUUCCUGUUUCCUGCAAUCAUUAUUGUUUAUCAAUAAGGUAGCACUAGCAAGCUGUUCUGCAUGCUGUUCUUGUUCUCUUUUUUAUUCUGUAUUCAUGAAUCCUCAAUAUGUUUCUUGGGCUGCUGAACAUGCAGGUGGCACAGUAUGUUUUUUUUUUUAAUCUUAAUUCUUCUAAUUUUUUAGAUGUUAUUACAAAAGGCAAGCCUCUUAUUUUCAUUUUUAAUAUGUUAUUGUUGAUUAAGGUUACAUGAUUUGGUUCUCAGCUAAUAGUAGUAAUUAUUUUUUAACAGUCUUUCGAGCCAAAAGGUUUUUGGUUGCCUAGGAGUGCUGAAUGUCUACCCAACGGAGAGAUAACCUAUGAUGGUUCCUCGAGAGUUGAAUCAAAGCGAAAUCAUCAAUGGUUUAUGGAUAUCACUGGAUCGGAACUACUGGGCAACAAAAAGCAAGCCAUAGGUGUUAAUAGGCCUUCUUUGGGAGUCCCACACAUGAAUGUGCCUUCAUGGUGUAAUACUUCUCGUUUUCAUUCAGUUUCUGGACAAUUUACUGAUCAGCAAUUUGGAUCUGAGCCUGUGGGGGCUGAUAGGAAUAUUACUUCUGAUGAUAAUGGAAAUAUGAAUGUGGGACAAAAGGAUUUUGAGGAGCAGUAUGAACACAAUUCAUCAAUUAGUUUGUCCAUGUCUCAUACUGUAGAAGACCCCUCAUCAUGUCUCAGUUUUUGUGGACUCAGGAAGGUUAAGGUCAAUCAAGUUAAAGACUCCAACAAUGGCAUGACAGCACCCUUAGAGAAUUAUGGCAGGGGCGAUAACAGCUUAGCAAUGGGUAGCAACUACAGAAAGAAUGAGAGCAACACUACAUCCUUGGGCCCAACUUAUGGUAAUGGUGAGAAUCCCAUCUCAAUAGCGCCUGCCUUUAGUAAGGCGAGUAGUAAUUUUAUUUCAAUGAGUCACACUUUUGGCAAGGGAGACGCCAGUUUCAUGUCCAUGGGCCACAAUUAUGACAAGAGCACUGGGAAUAUCUUGUCAAUAGCUCAAUCCUUUGACAAAGGGGGUGGUAACUUUAUAUCGAUGGGACAGCCAUAUGGGAAAGGGGAUAACAAUCUCAUAUCAAUGGGUCCUUCUUAUAGUAAGGGGCUAGAGAGUUUCAUUUCUAUGGCACCCAGCUACAACAAAGCAGAUGAGAAUAUAAUUUCAGUAACUCCUGCCUGUAAUAAAGAGGAUCGAAAUACUAUAUCAAUGGGUCCACCUUACGUUAAGAAGGAUUGUACCAUGGAACCAUUUGGUCGUUUCCAAGAUGCCAGGGACACAAACAUUUUGUCUAUGGGUCAAAACUAUGAUAAAGGUGAGGGCAGUACCAUAUCCUUUGGAGGAUUUCAUGAUGAACCUGGGGCAAAUCCUCCUGGCAGUAUCAUUAGCAGUUAUGAUUUGCUAAUGAGCUCUCAAAACUCUGAUCAAGUUUCUGAGGAACCUGAACCUGCACAUAAAGAGGUGGCUGAGGAAAAUGUGGAUCCAGAAGUAAAUAUUUCUUUAAAACCUAAUGCUAAAGCUGGUGCUCCCCGAAAGAAUAAAGAUCCCAAGACAGCUAAGAUGGUUUCUCCAAAUACUUUUCCUUCAAAUGUUAAAAGCUUGUUAUCGACUGGUAUUUUUGAUGGGGUCGCUGUGAAGUAUGUUUCCUGGUCACGGGAGGUAAGAUCUGAUUAUCUUACAUUUUGAAAAGAAGAUGCAACUUUAAUUUUAGCAAUAAUUAACAUCUUUGAUUGACAGAAAAGCCUCAAGGGUGUUAUAAAAGGGACUGGAUACCUGUGUGGCUGCAACGAGUGUAACCUAUCUAGGGUAAGGAAGUCAUUAAAAUUUCAGCUUCUUGUAAUAAGCUCAGCUCGGUAACAUUUUCUAAAUUCAGCAUCAAACAAGUACUUAUCUCCUGUAUCAUUUUAGCAAAAUAACCAGUCUCACCUAAAUUAUGUCAUGUAGCCUCUAAAUGCCUAUGAGUUCGAGCGCCAUGCUAAUUGCAAGACAAAACACCCUAAUAAUCACAUUUACUUUGAGAAUGGAAAAACCAUCUAUUCAAUUGUUCAAGAACUGAAGAACACUCCUCAAGAAAAUCUGUUCGAUGCAAUCCAACACAUAACUGGAUCUCCAAUCAAUCAGAAAAAUUUCCGCUCCUGGAAAGGUGAGAAACAUAUAUGUUUUAGUAUGAGCAAGAGCAAGACAGUAGAAAUACAAGAUAAAUCCUAUAUUUCUCAUUCAUAUUCUCUUUUAUUUGGAAAUUGUUCAGCUUCUUUUCAGGCUGCCACCCGUGAACUUCAGCGUAUCUAUGGAAAGGAUGAGGCUAGUCUCAUAUCAUCUUGAGACAAAGACGAUACUUGGGAGUUUUGAGCUCUGCUGGGGAAACAUAACAUGUGAUUUAUGUACAGCAACAGCAACAUAAAUCUUGUAGUAAAGUAGACUGUUUUUGGUGUUUCAUUGACCUUUGAGCAAAGAUAACCUUAGUUAUAUUUUUUCUCCAGAAAGAAUUCAGGUUUUGAAUUUAUCUAUCCAUCUACCUAUAUAUAUAUAUAUAUAUAUAUUAUAAUCUGAAGAAUUCUAAUAUAAAAAGUAGACUUUGUUCAUAUGUUGGUGUAAGUUCUUUUACUGCUUCCUUAUGUGAUGGCGUCCUGAUCCUUAUGUGUUGUAUGGGACCAGUAAUAUCACAGCUCUACAGUUUAAAUAUCCGGGCAUUGUUAGUCUAUAAAGACUUGUCUGGCCUUUUAGGGACGGUGGGGAUACCUGAUUCAUUCUGAGACGUGUCUACUAUGUUUUCUCCAUGGACAUGUANNNNNNNNNNNNNNNNNNNNNNNNNNNNNNNNNNNNNNNNNNNNNNNNNNNNNNNNNNNNNNNNNNNNNNNNNNNNNNNNNNNNNNNNNNNNNNNNNNNNNNNNNNNNNNNNNNNNNNNNNNNNNNNNNNNNNNNNNNNNNNNNNNUUUAAACUCUUAUCACAUACUUAUCUUUUUUUUUUUUUUUUUUCAACUGUUAUUACUACCUUUUAUGCAUAUACGUAGGAAAUUAAAAAUAAAAAACAUAUUUUUAAAAAUUUUGGACUCAUAACAUUUUUCCAUUUUUAUUUUUCAAAUAUUGUCCAUAUCAGUUACUUCCCCUCAUAAUUUAUUUGUACAUAGAGAUAGAAGUUAAUUCUUUUUGAAGUUAUACGCUGAAUGCAAUCUUAAAUCUUUUCCGAUAAAACCUUUUCCUCCUGUAUUCAUGUAUUACGCAGUUUUGUAAGUUUAUAUAUAUAUAUGUAUAUGUGUAAGGACUUACCUGCAGCUGCAAGCCAGCAGAAAUGUCAUGGCAGGAAGAACGUUGCUGUUGUUUGCUUCAUUCCCGUGUGCAGUACAAGUUCUGGUCCAUCACAGGUAGUAACAGUUGAUUUAUUAAUUAAUAACUAAUCAUAAUCUUAAUUGGGGCAACGGAAAUUGCAUUACAACAAAUUGAGCUUUCUUACUCCAAUAAUCCGACUAAGAAUAUUUUAGCAAGAUCGGAAGUGUCAUCUUUAGUCUUGUUUUCCUAUCUGCUAAACGCGUCAAACACAUCAAAUUUGGCUAUACAGGUGAAAUUAAUAUUCAUAUCCGCAAUGCGCAACAUUCUUCCUGCCAUGACAUUUCCACUGGUUUGCAUCUGCAGGCAAGUCAUGCUUUUUUUUUUCCGGCUUCCAGAGGCAGACACGCCUCUCUCUCUCCCUCGCUCUCUCUCUGUUUCUGGUGGGUGCGCGAGUUAUAUUCUCAAAACGAUGUGCCGUUUUGAUGUUUGCAGUUCUGAUUCCCCGCUCUCAGAACUGCGUUGUGUUGUGCUUCUCUUCUCAAAACGAUGCCGUUUUAGGCGUGUCUCUGCCUCUGGUUAUAUUAAUAAAUUCUUCCAAAUUCAAGUAAAAAGCCUAUUAAUAAUAUGAUGAAAAUGCAAUACAUAAUUGAGGAGCGUAAAUUUCUGCUUGGCUUUGAUAUGUCUGAAGCAGAAAGAGAGAGAAGCAAAAAGCUUCCUGAAAAUGUUUUGGUAAAACCAUGAAUCACCGAGUACUAGUUUUUUGUGCCUUUGCUCAACACUCAUUGCUUAGGUGGUUAUGAGUUACGAUUUAAGUUCUAUUUUUUUUUUUUAAAUAAAGUUUAGAACUUGUGAAUUAUCUAAUUUUCUUAAAAAGUUAGACAUAAAAAUAUAAACAUUAAUUUCUUUUUUCAAAAAAAGAAAGCUUAAGAAUUAUUAAAAAAAAAAUGAAUUAUUUAAGAAAAUUUAGAUAAUUGGUGAAAAACUCGUUGGGUUUUAAAUUCUCUAAGUAAUUAAAGUUGUAAUGUCUGCACUCGGAAUUUGACUCGAAAUUUAUUUUAACAUUCUAAAAUGUAUAAAAAAAUAUAUUUUUGAAAUUAAUAAAUUAUAAUUUAAUGUGGAAUUAUGAAAAAGUAGGUUAUGGAUGAAAUUGAAACCAAUUUUAAAAAAAAAAUGUGAAAAUUUAAGUUCGAAUGGUGUUUUUGAAAGAAAAAUCAGAAAUUGUAGGUCAGAAUGCAAAUAAAAGAAAUUUGGCCACGUAGAACUGCCCAGUUAGCAGCCUCGAUGAAUCAGAGUGCGCCGCGUGGUAAGGCAUGUUGACUCGUUGCCUCGUGGGAGGCCAUGUUGGCGAUUCGCGUGCCCUGCGAUCGGACGAUCCAGAAGCGAUCUCGCGCGUGGACGGUCUGAAUUUGUUUUUUCCUUCAGCGCGAUCGGACGGUCGAGAUCAAACGUGAUGAAUGACCUAGAUUCGUUUUCUCCUUAGGCGCGAUCGAACAGUCGAGACCAAAUGCGAUGAACGAUAUAGAUUAACGCGAGAUGGGUAUAAAUAUUUCGCAUCACACUAAACCGAACUCUAGCCGCCAGCCUCCCACCGGAGAAGAAGAACCAAUCACUGGAGAAGGGAGUCGACCGCCGACCGCCACCGCACCGGAGCCACAUUCGACUGUCAAAAAGGUAAAAAUUCUCAUACCUUCUCGAAAUUCGAUUUCGAGCACCAUUGUAGCCAUAUUGGAGCAAAACGAACGGUCGGUGAGCCGAAAACCACAGGCGAAACCCGGCGCCGCCGCCGUGGGCAAGACCCACAACCUCCUCUAAUGAGCCUCUUUUCAUUUUUCGUUUCGUGCAAUUUUUCUACCGUUGUGUUCAUCGUUCUAUUUUUACAGGUUGAUCGAAGAAAAAAUUCAAGCCGCAAAGGUGAGCCGAUGGAGCCGCCACACCAGGAAAACUCCACCACCAAUAAGUUUUCGUUUUCUGAUUUUUUCGGCCAACCGAGGCUCCUAACGUAUUUUUCACAAUGACAUGUAUAAAGUCAGCCGAAAUCGGCCAAAAUUGGUUGAAAAUGGGUAGGUCGCAAGCGAUGGUGCCGUCGCCAGAGCACGACGGUGUCGCUGUGUCAGAACCUUGAAAUUGACCGGAAAGAAUUUUUAACACUGAUUUUGAACUUUGGGGGUAUUUUUAGGUAUGUGAAGCGUGGUUUAAUCUCUGUAAGAAAAUUCAGAAAACUCGGGAACCGCUAGUAGGCGCAGUAGAAAGUUUGCUGUUUCAGGAUCCCUCACCCUUUUCUCC
rnacentral:lncRNA from 1 species